rnacentral:misc_RNA from 1 species
UCUCCAAUAUUUGUAGCUGCCAUUUGCCAAAAAUAUCGAAAGUGCGCCAUUUAAGAAAAAAGUUUGGAAGGGAGUGCAUGUGCGGUGCGUAGUGAUAUAAGCCGGAAAGUGGAAAAAAGGCGAAAAAAGUUCUGAAAGUAUUCUAGACUGAAAACAAAUAAUACUCGACAGCUACAAAAAUGUCUCGCUAUCGUGAAUGGGAUCUUCAAUGCAAAGUCUACGUAGGAAAUUUGGGCUCGUCGGCAUCAAAAUAUGAAAUUGAAAAUGCAUUCGGCAAAUAUGGACCAUUGAGGAAUGUGUGGGUUGCUAGGAAUCCACCAGGUUUCGCCUUUGUGGAAUUUGAAGACAGACGAGACGCUGAAGACGCAGCACGAGCUUUGGAUGGAACACGUUGCUGUGGCACAAGAAUCCGCGUAGAAAUGUCGUCAGGACGAUCACGACGGGAUGAUCGUCGUCGCGGUGGUGGCGGACGCAGCCGCUAUAGGGCCAGAUCUACUUCCUCCUUCUACUACUACUUCAUGAAUCACUACUACUGCUACUACAGUCACCACGACAAUAAUGACACAACCACCACCAACAUCAAGACUGCUACUACUACUAGUGCAAAAAAUAAUUCUUUUGCAAUUUCUUCGCUUCAUGAAAAUGCUGUUGUUGGACUCCUCAAAUUCCCCAUCACGAAAUUGCUUCCUCGUUUACGCCAUCACUUUCAUCAUCUUCCCAUUAAGUUUUUGUUUCCAACCUGAAUUGUUUAGAAUGAACGUUGUUGCACAAUUGAUCCUUGAGAAGACUUAAUCCGUGCAGAAUUGCGAAAAAAGGACACCUUACUCGUGUAAUGUUGACUUUUCCGUGUUGAAUGUUGCGUUGAUACGAUUUGAAAUGGAUUGUCAACGUUCUCAGUAUUUCGGCAAAGAUUAAGAGGAUAUAAAUAUUCGAAGAUUCGUAUAAAUAGUUCCCCUCCACAUCCAAUUCAUAUCCAAAUUAGAAAACUAUUGAACUUAUACAUCCGUCGAGUGUAGGGAAACAAAUUGAAACAACAAUUUCGAAUAGACCUUCCUUCUGUGCUUGUAUGCGCCUCGUCACCGUGGUGAUUGAAAGCUCUUCAACAUUGUCAUCAAUCAGCUUCGCUUCAGACGCGUCCGCUGUUAAAUCAAGUUCCUCCUCUGAGCCAGCAUCAUUCAUUCACGUCAGUGCAACCAACAGCGGGGAUCAAAUUUCUCGUCUCACAAUCAUCUCUCCUUCCGAAUGCAUGCCGCGGCAGGACAACAAUGAACGGCUACAACAUGAUCACGGCACUUCACUUCCGCCCCUAUUAGACUUGUUACAAAUCAAAAUGAAAUGUACUCCGCGGAAAUUAUCUCGGCGCGAUCAACACAUCCUUCAUUUCGUGCAACAUUACGAAGAAUGAUAAUCGAUCAAUCAACAAACGAGGAUUUUGCAAUGUUUUCAGUUGCUUUCGUUUAUUUCGACUUCUUUUUUUAAAGAGCAGUUCAUCAAAAUUUUACUAAGCUACGAGCACCAAAAUCAUCAGCCACCAACUACUAUCCACCAACCAAGCGACAAACGCCCGCCAUCUCCUCUGAUAUUUGAAAAAAAAACUAUUAAUCAGCUUUCUACAAAAAUCAUACAACAAACUAAAAAUCAACAUCAAAUUAACCAUCACAUACUCAUCACAAUGUUAAAAUAAUAGUCGAAUUGCUUUGGUGUGAAAGGAAAAGGUUCAUGCAUGCUACCGAAAGAUCCAACAGUGAGAGUGCAUUACCUCGUUUGUGGAUUGCAUUCAACAUGAGAUUGUUGCCGGCCAAGUCACGCGAAAUGAAUUUCCCUGGGGACAACUGCAGCAUCAAAAUACUCAAGUGUGUGUUGAAAUGCACUAAUGCAAGUGGGGAGUAGUGUCCAGGGGUUUUGAAAAGUCCUCAUUCUUCAUCACUCAAGCGUUUUUCGUCCUUAGAACGAAGCUCGAUCGAGGAGAAUCCGCAAGCAUCCAUCGAAAAAUUUAAAAUCAAGCAUCAUGGAUGACUGCCACAACAUAUCGUCAAAAUUGUUCGACCGAAAGGGUUGCCCGCGUGCGCGCCUGAAACUGUUGUGUUUCUCCUUGAGUACCUGCUAGUUCGUCCGACCGCCCAUCUGCUAGUCUCUGAUCGUCAGCAUCAUCAAUGAUAAGCUACUAGUAUCGAUCAAUCAACCAACAAACCACCAAAAAGUUAAUAAAAGUUCAGAAAUGAUCUAGUCACCAUCUGCUACUACUUCUACUUCCACCAACCAUCCUCUACUACCAACCAACACAUCGAAUCAACCACGGCAUCAUUUAGUGGUCACGCUCCCCACGUCGUUCCCGCACUCCACGAUCCAGAAGUCGCUCGAUUGAGCGUCGAAGUCGUUCAGAUUCGCGCGACCGUCGCUAGAUGCGACCCGACGACCGGAAUGAUGACAACCAGUAAAUAAGUGGAAUGGAAAUAUUUUGAGAGCUGCUAUACAAUUCCCGUCACCUACUCCUUUUUCUCCAUAUUGAAAUACACAUUUAUACAUAGUUUACUUUUUGUUUUUUGUACAAACAAAUCUUCGAGACAAGAUAUUUAGUUUAAGUUCUCGUAUUUCAUGUGAAUCAAUGCUGUCAAUGAUGUUAUAAAGUAUUCUCUAAAAAUUUAAUGUAUUUCUACGAAACGUUCUUAGAAAGUUUUCUUCAUAAUAGAAAUUCACAUUUUGAUUUCCUGAUUGUGGUUAUAAAACGUUCAUUGGUUCACACUUAAAUGGUUAAUGAUUAACCACUUUUAUACUUUUAAUUGUAAUGAGUAAAGAAAAAUAAAGUAUAUAUAGAAUAUAAUAAUUAUUUUCA